rnacentral:tRNA from 1 species
UGGCUCAGUCAGUGGAGCGUGAGACUCUUAAUCUCUGGGUUGUGAGUUCGAGCCUCAC